rnacentral:rRNA from 1 species
UACGUAGGGGGCAAGCGUUGUCCGGAAUCAUUGGGCGUAAAGGGCGCGUAGGCGGUGCGGUACGGUUUCGGUGAAAUCCCUCGGCCCAACCGAGGAACAGCCGGAGCUACGGCCGGACUAGACGGCAUCAGGGGACAGUGGAACUCCCGGUGGAGCGGUGAAAUGCGUAGAUAUCGGGAGGAACGCCGGUGGCGAAAGCGACUGUCUGGGGUGCCUGUGACGCUGAGGCGCGAAAGCCAGGGGAUCAAACGGG